rnacentral:rRNA from 1 species
UACGUAGGGUGCGAGCGUUGUCCGGAAUUAUUGGGCGUAAAGAGCUCGUAGGCGGUCUGUCGCGUCGAUCGUGAAAACUUGGGGCUUAACCCUGAGCUUGCGGUCGAUACGGGCAUGACUGGAGUUCGGCAGGGGAGACUGGAAUUCCUGGUGUAGCGGUGAAAUGCGCAGAUAUCAGGAGGAACACCUGUGGUGUAGACAGCUUACUGGACCAUUUCUGACGCUGAGACACGAAAGCGUGGGUAGCAAACAGG